UCCGAAAACCCCCGAGCAGAGGCCGAGCCGCUCUCCCCAGCGCAGCUGCGGCCACCGCACCUGUUACGCCCGCCCGGGUUCACCCGGCCGCGGCUCCCCGCCCCCAGCCCUCCGCGGGGGCAGGGGGAGGGUCCCAGCCGCUUUACAGUCCGGCCUCCGAGGCCCCCUGAACCCCAACGCCCUCAAAGAGCUAAAGUGGGGCUCCCAGGAGAGUCGGGUGCGCUGGCCAGAAUGGAGAGACACCGAGGGACACCCAAAAUUAGGUCAGGCCCUGGAGAAGGGAGAUAGUGGCCUCGGGAAUCUUGAGUGCCGAACAUGCCAAUGGUACAAAAAUCCGAGUAAAACUAGAACCAGGGAAGCGGCCCUGGGUUCAGUCCCCAGACGGUGCACACAGCGCGCGCGUGAGGGUGCGUGUCUGUGAUCCGGCAGAACUGAAGUUCAAGGUCAUCCCCGACUACACCGGGAGCUCGAGUCUAGCCUAAGUGAGAUGAGUAAAACAGAGUCAAUAAAAUUAGAGUGAAGAAACGGGCCCAAGUAGGAGACAGCUGGAAGGGGAAAACUAAGAAAUGGCACCUGUGAACUCUAAGUUGAUGAAAAAACCUCGCUAGGCCCACGCGGGGCACAACACAGUCCUCAAAGUGAAAACCCGGGGCGAGAAUUGUGGUUCUGACAUGUAACUACCAUUAAAAGGGAAGCAAGGUGAAAAAGAAAAGAAUCAUGCUUUUUGUCUUGUGUGUGAGUAAAACAAGUUUCUUUAGUAACAGUAAAACAUGUAUACAACCGGAACUUAUCUGGAGCUGUUGUGUCAAGUGUCAUCGUUUCCCAGGAUUCUUUGUUCAUGGAGUGGCUGCAGCCUCAAGCACAGAGCUGUAAUUUGAAAGCCAUACAUGGGAGUAGAGCACUGGAUACACCUACUGAAAUGAAUAAUCUACAAAGAACACCCUGGAGACAUGGGAAGAACUGGUCAAAGAUGGACAAGCCAUGUGAGAGACCCGGAAACAGUUGUAAUCACCCAGGAAAGCACUGAGGACCCCAGGAAAGACAGUCUCGGCAUAGACCUAAGGGAAAGGGUGGCUGGAGUCAGUGAGGAAGAGGAAUGGAUCCUGACUCAGCCGGAUUCUAAAAAAUUUAGUUCCUGCUUGUUCCUUAUCUCAGAUUUGUUUGACUGAAGUUCCAAGAAUAAUCUGAACCAAUAAUCCCUGCUUUAAUCAAUGACCACAUGAUCCUGUAAAUAUUUAUUUCAGUGACCAAAGAAUGUCCAGGCUUCUCUGGUCAAAUCUCCCACUUGCAUUCCCAUCUCCUUGACAUCAGAAAAAAGUCCCCUCUUACCACAUGUUAUCUGAGUAGUUUCUCAUCUUUUAACCCUAAAGGAUUCUGUCUUUUUGUCAAAGCCACAGAAUUCUCUGUGGUCCUUGUGAGUGGUGACCAAGUUUCUCCCAUGAGUCAUGUUCCAUGGGGCCAUCAGGUGAUGCACACGGCAUUCUUGUUCCUUGUUGUCACCUCCAGACCACUGUGUCCUCCUCACUCUUCCUCAGCAGCUGCUUCAAGCCCCUCUCACCAACUGUCUCUCUGAGUCAGCUUCCCGUUACUGUAACACAUAUCUGAGACAAUCUGAUCCAGGGCUGUUUUGGAUCAAACUUGGGAAGUUUCAGUCCAUAAUCUGUGAAGCCCUGUUGCUUUUGGGCCUGUGGGUAAGCAGCCUAGCAAUUGACAGCACUGUCCACAUAAUGACCAGGAAGUAAAAGAAGAGGAGGAAAGGGCUGGCAUCUCCCAACUCCCUUUGAGGACAUGCCUCCAGGGAUUUAGAGAUACCAGGCUCCAUCUCUAAAGGUCCUGCAGCCUCCCAGUAGAGCCAUACCAGAAUGUAAACCUCUACCGCGGGAUCAUUUAGUGGGUGCAUUUACGGCCUAAACCAUAACAACUUCCUCCAGACAGCACUACUGUGAUCUUGCCACUUUCUUUAGAUCACUUCCAUGUUUUCUUGAAGACUUCAGCAGAGUUAUAGUGGCAUGCUCCCUUAAUUAUCUUGCCGCUCUUCCUUGGAAGGUUAAUACUGCACACACAGCCCAUCCACUCCGACAACCUCUCCAUCCAUGAGCCUCUUUAUCCCCAGCAAGCUUGUCUUCUGCCAUUGAACUUCAGCCACUGCUCUCCACGGUCUCCUCUCUUGUCACUUAAAAUAUCUGCACCUACCAGUCAUCUUCAUUUCAGACUUCCUACUCCUACAGUUUCAGCUCUUGUCCCCUCAUGCCCCAGAUCUAAAAAUUCCACUUUGCCAAGCACUUCAUUCUUUUGACCUUACUGCUUUUCACCGUCUCUCUCCCAAGACCCUGAUUCCUCUCUUGCCUACCCCAAUUCCAUUUUCCUUCACCAUAAUUACCCCUUCAGAUGGGUUCUUACUGUUCUUAGCUAAUACUUCCACUGCAUUGUCCCCACUUGUCUCAGUUACUCUCUGACCACCGUUACAAAACAGCAGAGCAAUCUGUAAAAGGAAGAGUUUAAUGGGGGCUCUGGGUUCUAGAGGGUUAACGUCCAUCACCAUCAUAAAGGAGAGCAUGGCAGCAGGCAGGGAUGGUGCUGGAGCAGUAGCUAAGAGCUCACAUCUGAUCUACAAUAAUGAAGCAAAGAGUUAACUGGGAAUGGUAUGAGCUUAUGAAACCCCAAAACCUGUCUCCAGAGACAAACCUCCUCCAACAAGACCAAGGAUUCUUCCCAAACCAUCCAACCAACCGGAGACCAAGCAUUCAAAUAUAUUAGCCAAUGGGGGUUAUCAUUCAAACCACUUCCCAAAUCCAUCCUCAAAUCUAGAACUAGCCCCACCUGGUCAUCAUCUUGUCUCCUGUCCUUUAGAAUCUGAAUGUCUCAAUAGAACCAUGGUUAUGCUAUCCCUAGAUAGUAAGCUAUCCCCCAGUGCUGCCAAUCAAUUUGUAUGCGUGUCCUUAGUCAAUGUCUUUGAUUCACCUAGUCUCUUGUUCUCAAAGCCCCAUUGCCCUCUUCCUGCCUCACUAGCCAUGACUCCUAUUUCUUAAGGAAAACCACAAGCAACACAAUCAAACACACCUCAUUGCAGCUCUCCCCAUGUAUUCUGCUUCUCCGUCUGUGGUCAUAGAGAAGCUGGCUCGCCUUUCUGCUCGACACACCACCUUCUCUGUACCUUGGGUUCUUCUCCCAUACCUACCCACAAGAUGCUUUCUUAUACUUUAUGUUCAAAUUUUUCUCUCACCAUUGAAUUGCUCCCAUUAGCAAACAAAGGUCAUUUCAAAAACUCCUUCUGUUCAUAUUAUUUUCUCUUAGUAUCGCCAUGUUUUCCUGCUUCUCUUUACAGAAGGAUGCUAGUCUUUGUUUUAACUUUCUGUCUUUAUAGGUAGCACCACCCUUUACCAAUUAUGUUGAUUUUCCACUGUGGAUGUCUCUGUUUUUAGGUCACAUAGUCACUUCUAAACCAGAUCACUGUGUCCUAAUAAACAUGGCAGCCACUA